UACGUAGGGGGCAAGCGUUGUCCGGAAUCAUUGGGCGUAAAGCGCGUGUAGGCGGCCAGAAAAGUCCGCUGUGAAAACUCGAGGCUCAACUUCGAGCUGUCGGUGGAAACUUUCUGGCUAGGGUCCGGAAGAGGAGAAUGGAAUUCCUGGUGUAGCGGUGAAAUGCGCAGAUAUCAGGAAGAACACCCGUGGCGAAGGCGGUUCUCUGGGACGGUACUGACGCUGAGACGCGAAAGCGUGGGGAGCGAACAGG
rnacentral:rRNA from 1 species